rnacentral:rRNA from 1 species
AUGGCGGAUAGCAACCCGGACAGCAUCAAGAGAUACACGCCUCCCGUGCACAGGAAUCGUGCAAACAAUCGCCGCAAGGCUGGAGAUAGGGCUGAGAAAGCCAACUAUUCAUACAACAAUGAUGGAGAGAAGAGCCAUGUUCCUUCACUAAAGAACCUUCCUCCAAUUAUCCAUCAUGAUGCUUUUGUCAGCAAUGCUCAAAAUGAUUACAGUCAUGCAAGAUUAGUACCAUUGGAAGGAUGUUCUGCCAGUGAGGCUUCACAGCUUCUCAGUGAACGUUGGGCUGCUGCAAUGAACAUGUAUAAUGACCCAAAUGAUUCCCCUGAUAAACCAGUGAUGUACGCUGGAUCUGGCGGAUCGUCAUGGGGUCAAGGUCACAUGAAGCUUCCUCAUCAGAUGAACUUCCUCGAAGAUCUGCGUCGUGCGGUAGAUGCUCAAACGGGCCUGGCAGCGGCGCUCAGCAGCUGGAACUAA